rnacentral:rRNA from 1 species
UACGUAGGGUGCAAGCGUUAUCCGGAAUUAUUGGGCGUAAAGGGCGCGUAGGCGGUUCGGUAAGUCCUGUGUGAAAUCCCUCGGCUCAACUGAGGAACUGCACGGGAGACUGCCGGGCUUGAGUUCGGGAGAGGGAAGCGGAAUUCCGGGUGUAGCGGUGAAAUGCGUAGAUAUCCGGAGGAACACCGGUGGCGAAGGCGGCUUCCUGGACCGACACUGACGCUGAGGCGCGAAAGCUAGGGGAGCAAACGGG